rnacentral:rRNA from 1 species
GGGAUAUUGCACAAUGGGGGAAACCCUGAUGCAGCAACGCCGCGUGAGGGAAGACGGUCUUCGGAUUGUAAACCUAAGUUGUCAGGGACGAUAAUGACGGUACCUGAAGAGAAAGCUCCGGCUAACUACGUGCCAGCAGCCGCGGUAAUACGUAGGGAGCGAGCGUUGUCCGGAUUUACUGGGUGUAAAGGGUGCGUAGGCGGGUCUGCAAGUCAGACGUGAAAUACCGGGGCUUAACUCCGGGGCUGCGUUUGAAACUGUAGAUCUUGAGUGAAGUAGAGGUAAGCGGAAUUCCUAGUGUAGCGGUGAAAUGCGUAGAUAUUAGGAGGAACACCAGUGGCGAAGGCGGCUUACUGGGCUUUAACUGACGCUGAGGCACGAAAGCGUGGGGAGCAAACA